UCUACUUUACAUAUUUUUUAUUUUAAGAAUACUAAAUCAGAUCCAUUUCUAUUCAUAAGAAGAACAACUGACUCGAUCAUUUUUCUAUUAGCCUUUGCGGAUUACAUUUUGAUUACAGGAAAAUCCUAUUCCAACACCAAUGGUUUCUUCUACAAAACUGACAGAAUUCAUAACAGAAAGGAGUUGUAGAAGAGAUUGAGCAACAAAUUCCAUUUACACUAUCACAAGUAUUGGUAGAGCUUAAGACUUCCAGAAAAUCUAUUCAAGGAUAUGGUUGGUAGAGACGGAGAUCACGGU